rnacentral:lncRNA from 1 species
AUUCACAAAGAAGCAACUUAACAGAAGGUCAACAAGCCCCCAGACAAAAAGUGUAUAUAGAGCUCCAUCUUCAAAAUACAGCCAACUCUCUAUUUUUCUUCCUAACCCUAGGCUAAAAAGGCUAAUGAGAUUCACAGACAACAUAUUAAAUGAUGGAAUUCUCUACAUAGCUCCAUUUCUUUCUAUAAAUAAUUUUAAAACUAUUACCCAAUAAUGUAUUGUAAUAAAAAAGCUGACAAGGUCUUGCUCAACAAGUAAUCACCAGCAUGUUUUUGCACCUGGAGAUGGAGAACUUUCUUAUUAUGCGCCCCUGGUGAUUUUUAGGUGUUUCCAUAAAGCUGUUGCCAUUAUUUAUAAGCCACAGGUUACUUCCCUUUGCUGCAUGCUCAAAUUAAUGAAAACUUAUUUUAAAGACUCAGAAAAGCAGGGCAGACUAGAUGUAUGCCAAGCAGCCCCAGAGGGAUGGCGUGGGUUUUAAGUCAUUUGCAGUCUUCCUUAAGGAGACCUGGGUUCAAUCCUUGGGUUGGGAAGAUCCCUUGGAGAAGAGGACGGCUACCCAAUCCAGUAUUCUGGCCUGAAGAAUUCCAUGGGCUGAUCCAUGGGGUCACAAAGAGUCAGACACAACUGAGCAACUUUCACUUUCUUUUAAGGCAGCUCUGAGACCAUCCGCAGGACACAAGACAGCAUCUUUGGAGAUGGUGACCUCCUAAAGAUGAGGCUUGGGGAGGCAGGGACUGCUUCCAGGUGGGGGCCAUCUCCACCUCUGCUGCCUCAGCCUUGCCAGCCCAGAGCUCCAGGGUUGGCCUUGCCAGCAAGAGCCACAUGGGCUGGAGAACCUCUGCUGCCAAUGCCUGAAAUCCCUCCCCACAGCCACAGCCUAACCUCCUUGGUGCUUUGCACUUGCAGAGACAGCAUCCCACAGGAGAGACUCGUGGGCGGAGGGGCAAAGACACCCAUAUGCACAUACAUGCACACCCGAGGCCUGGCGCUCCCUGCAUCCAGUCCCCCAGAGCUGAAUGCCAAGAUGCAGGAAAAAGGACCAAGAGCUGCCAAGCCCCUCGAACUCCUCUACAGAUCUGCGUGCCCCUGGACAGGAUUAACAGCAAGGGCACCAAUACGGUCCACUCCAGUGCCUAUAAAAACUCUACCUACUUCCAGACCUACUUCAAAUAUUGCAUCCUCCAAGAAGCCUUUUCUGUUAGCAUCACAAGGUGGAACGUCUCCCUCAUUAUGUCCACAGUGA